UCGCACGGGGUAGCAAUACCCAGUGGCGAACGGGUGAGUAAUGAAUCGCUAAUGUACCCCGGACUCUGGGAUAGCCAGCCGAAAGGCUGGGUAAUACCAGAUGAUAUGCAGCUGUCGCAUGACAGUUGCCUCAAAGGUCCGCCGGUCUGGGAGCAGGCGAUUUCGUAUCAGCUAGUUGGUGAGGUAACGGCUCACCAAGGCGACGACGCGUAGCCGGACUGAGAGGUUGGCCGGCCACAUUGGGACUGAGACACUGCCCAGACUCCUACGGGGGGCUGCAGUAACGAAUCUUCCGCAAUGCACGAAAGUGUGACGGAGCGACGCCGCGUGGAGGAGAAGCCCUUCGGGGUGUAAACUCCUGUCAGGGGUUAGAAAGUUCUGAUCAACCCCAGAGGAAGGCACGGCUAACUCUGUGCCAGCAGCCGCGGUAAGACAGAGGUGCCAAGCGUUA
rnacentral:rRNA from 1 species